rnacentral:rRNA from 1 species
AUUGAACGCUGGCGGCAGGCUUAACACAUGCAAGUCGAACGAGUGGCGGACGGGUGAGUAAUGCUUGGGAAUCUAGCUUAUGGAGGGGGAUAACUACGGGAAACUGUAGCUAAUACCGCUUACCAUAGGAUGAGUCUACGUGGGAUUAGGUAGUUGGUGGGGUAAAGGCUCACCAGGCCGACGAUCUCUAGCUGGUCUGCGAGGCUGACCUGCCACACUGGGACUGAGACACGGCCCAGACUCCUACGGGAGGCAGCAGUGGGGAAUAUUGCGCAAUGGGGGCAACCCUGAUGCAGCCAUGCCGAGUGUGUGAAGAAGGCCUUCGGGUUGUAAAGCACUUUCAGCGGGGAGGCGUUACUCGCAGAAGAAGCACCGGCUAACUCCGUGCCAGCAGCCGCGGUAAUUC